AUGCUGCCGGAGAAGCCCAUCGUCGUCAAGGCCAAGCUCAUCUCCAAGAUCGCCGAGAAGAAGAUCAAGGCCGCCGGCGGCGCUGUCGUGCUCGUUGCCUAGGGUUCUGUUCGCGACUGUGCCUUGAGAUCUAUUAUAUCUUUACUAUUAGUUGUUUCCCGUACCAGCAAUUUGUGUUGAACAAGACAUCGUUAGUUUGUUAUCCUUGUUCCUGUGUGGUAAACCAACAUCUUAUGAGAAUUUUGCGAUAUGUUAUGCCAGUUUAUAUCAGACGAGUUAUCCAUAUCUGUGCUCCUAUUUAUGCUUCGUUUGAUCUGUGUUAAUUGUUAUCGAUCCCUAAUGCAUGUACUUUUAUUUGCCAUGGUAACUAUAUGAUUCUAUGCCUGCUAGUCAUGGUAACUAUAUGAUUCUAUGCCUGGUAGUCAUGGUAACUGUAUGUGUCUAUGCCUGCUAAUCAUGAUAACUGUAUGAUUCUAUGCCUGCUAAUUAUGUGACAUGUGAACUGUAUGAUUUUUGUUUGCACUCUGGUAUGCUUUGUUUUCUUUGUUAAUCUUUACUUGUCAUAGUGUAUUGCUUCAGGAUUCUAUUUCUUGUAGUCAUAGUGAUUUGCUUGCUUAAUGCUCGAUGACAUUGAAGUUGAUGUCUGGAAGAGGUUUGUAGCCAUACUAAUGGUUAACAUGAGGUAGUAGUUUUAUCUUUGGAAUCCCUAGCAGGUACUAAAGUUUUGGAUUGCAUCUUCCUUCUAAAUUUACUUGACUAGUUUAGUGUCACCUCUUGAGUUAAAUAAGAACCUGGAGUAAGCUAUUGUGCUGUUAUUGUUGUGCCAUUGUGUGAAGUAUUGGUAUCCAUUUGCAUCUUCGCAGAAAUGGCGACAUGUUCUUUGAGAAAUCUUCCUCUGAAGCAUUCUGUCUGUUUUGUAUUUGCUAGAACAAGGAUGUUAUUCUUUUUGGGUGUUCGAUUUGUUUUGCUUGCUGUGGCACCUUUUUUUUUGCUUGCUGUGGCACCUGACGCAUAGCAGUUGUUUUAUCAGUCAAGCUUUGUUUUAUAGUCAAGCAUUUGUUACUGUAUUUCCCAGAGUACAUUAGUACAUUAGUACAUUUGUUACGUGUGUGUGAUCAUGUUUGCUUGUCUGUACAUAGCUGCAAUUGCCUGAUCGAUAGAGCGCCUUAGGGUUCAAAGGAUUUUAUAGCAAUUUUUGCUAUGUACUACCUCUGUACCGAAAUACUGUAGUUGAGGAUUUGCUCAUUUGCCGCUCCCGUAAUUUGUUUGCCCACGCACGUCGCCUGAAUCUGUUGUGCACAACUGACUCCCGUGCCCUCUAGGUAUUCCACCACUGCCAGCCGGGGUUGCCAUCGGAGGCACUCAAACAUCCAACAGUAUCAGUUGAUUGACAAACUGACUCGAUGGGUCAUUUCUCCCGCCGGUUGCCAUCGGUUCGAAAGGAACAUUGGCGCCGUGACACGAGACGGUGAGUAGAACAAACGCAUCAGCUGUUGGUCCGUGCCGCCAAUGCCUGCUUUGCCGGCUGGGCAAGCGAUCCCUCGUCCACACGCACAAGGAACCCUCUGUUUGACAUGCGUGCGGCCCGUCGUAUGCGGCCCUCCGUGACAUGGAUGAAGUGGCACGUUUAAGCACGAGGCACCCUCACGUUGAUGCAUAUCACUUCCGUGGUACGUGGACAGAAGGAACAUAUCUCACGGUUGUUGGGUGGAGGAAUUCACAAUUUAUCUGUACAACGAUGAUAUCUUAGAAGACCUAUGUAGUAUAAAUUGCUGAGCUUAACGAAAGAUAAUAAACUAUAAGAAAAAAGUUGUAUUUUUCUUAAUUAGGAUAUGAUCUCUUAGCAAUAAUAUUUGUCACCACUGACCACAUAUUUAGAAAUAUUUAGUUUAUCAAAGAAAAGACUGAUGCCAUGCAACUUUCUAUUUUUUUUCCUUGAUUACAUGAUGGGUUUAAGAUAAGACUAUCUUACUUGCCUUCAUAAAAAACGUUGAAAAUAACAUUUAAAUACUCCGAUGAACAGACACACCUUCAUGCGCCCUCCACGAGCCGAUGGAACAUGGAUAGGAUGAGCAUGCCAUUAUUUCUAAACCCGGCAACAUCGUCGCCUCGCGGCCUCGACUAACACACAGAGAAUUCUAAAACCAGGCUAAAUUAAAACCAAGACGCCUAUGCUGCUGUACGCCAAAUAUGAGCCAGAGGUCGAGCCAAACCACCAUCUAGGACCCUAUAUGCCGUCGGUGCAGGUAGCAUCGCCUGUAAGCGUCCCUGGUUGAGAAUUGCCGCUGCUCGAACACACAUCAACGACUGCCGCUAGCCCCGGCAUGAACUCAAUGUGGACACUUGACAGAUCAUCCCGGCAUCGUAGACGCCACAUGGGUUUUGCUCGAUGACAGACUUUGGCAGCAACGGGAGCGUAACGCUGGUGGCAGCUAGGGCUUCAGAGUUUGUCGCGAGAUAUAAGGACGAGUGAAUCAGGUUAGGUAAUUACGUUAGGCAGAACCCCGAAGUAAGAGGAAAUGAAUAUGACUUUGAACUACAAAUUUCACAUACUUAUGAACAUUAGCUGUCUAAUAUAGUACCAUGUCUAAUGACGGUGUACCUCAUUCCGAUGGGCAGGGAUGUAGGUUUGUGUAAAAACCGUAAAAAAAAAAAUAUAU
rnacentral:lncRNA from 1 species